AUAUCCACCUUCCAACGCCCCAUGACGCUUUGCGAGAAAUAAUCGGUGCAACUUCCAUUUAGCUGUAAACAGUCAGUGAAAGGCUCGCUCUAUGAAAGCAAUAUUAUGUUUUUUUUAAAAAAUGGAUACAAUGAGAUGACAUUAUUCUACUCACCCUUCAACCAACGAACAUUAAAAGGACAUUUAAAAGUGUAAAAGCAUCAGCAAGAUUACAGGUCUUUAUAAGGACGUCCCUCAUGGACUACAUGGUUCUGAAGAUGGAUGGAUGGAUGGAAAUACAAUGAGGGUUGCAUAGGUGAUUAUUAAGCCACUGGAUCUUUUUUCUCCCCUUUAUUUUGUCUCAUUUGUAAACCCUUCAGAUAAAC